rnacentral:rRNA from 1 species
AGAGUUUGAUCCUGGCUCAGGACGAACGCUGGCGGCGUGCUUAACACAUGCAAGUCGAACGAGAAAGCCCUUCGGGGUGAGUACAGUGGCGAACGGGUGAGUAACACGUGGGCAACCUGCCCCGGAGAGCGGGACAACCCGAGGAAACUCGGGCUAAUACCGCAUGAUGCGUCUCCACUUAAGUGGAGCCGCCAAAUGGUAGCUUCGGCCUCCGCUCUGGGAUGGGCCCGCGCCGGAUUAGCUAGUUGGUUGGGGUAAUGGCCCACCAAGGCGACGAUCCGUAGCUGGUCUGAGAGGACGAUCAGCCACACUGGGACUGAGACACGGCCCAGACUCCUACGGGAGGCAGCAGUGGGGAAUCUUGCGCAAUGGGCGAAAGCCUGACGCAGCAACGCCGCGUGCAGGAUGACAGCCUUCGUGGUUGUAAACUGCUUUCGGCAGGGACGAAAAUGACGGUACCUGCAGAAGAAGCUCCGGCUAACUACGUGCCAGCAGCCGCGGUAACACGUAGGGGGCGAGCGUUGUCCGGAUUCAUUGGGCGUAAAGAGCUCGUAGGUGGUUCAGUAAGUCGGGUGUGAAAGCUCCGAGCUCAACUCGGAGAGGCCACCCGAUACUGCUGUGACUCGAGUCCGGUAGAGGAGCGUGGAACUCCUGGUGUAGCGGUGAAAUGCGCAGAUAUCAGGAAGAACACCCGUAGCGAAGGCGGCGCUCUGGGCCGGUACUGACGCUGAGGAGCGAAAGCGUGGGUAGCAAACAGGAUUAGAUACCCUGGUAGUCCACGCCGUAAACGUUGGGCACUAGGUGUGGGGAGGAGUCAACCCUUUCCGUGCCGUAGCUAACGCAUUAAGUGCCCCGCCUGGGGAGUACGGCCGCAAGGCUAAAACUCAAAGGAAUUGACGG